UUGAGUGCAUGAAUAUCGUCCCUCAGGAGUUAUGCACUGACUCGAGCAAAUUGCAGACUCUCUGCAUCUCUGUCUCUGACCUGGGGCUCCAGAGGUAGCAUACCUGGCAUGGCAGUAGAAAUUCUGGACUCUCCCUCUCCCUUGUCUAGGUUAAACUGGCCAGAGGCUUGUCAACAAGAGCCCUGAUGAAAUGAAGCCACAUCCUUUUAUGAGCACUUGGCUGUAUAUGACCGUCUCAGUUCUGAUCCAACCUCCAAGGCAGUCCACAUGUCUGCUCUUCUAGGACCUGCAUCCUGUGUACAAAGGCAAUUGUGGCAUAAUGGGAAGAGUGCUGAACAUGGACUAAGAGGACACAGGUGGGGCCCUGCUUUGUGCUUUCUGUAUGAUAUUAGCCAGGAUUGAAUAAAGCUGUUUGUGUCAGAAAA